rnacentral:rRNA from 1 species
GACGAACGCUGGCGGCGUGCUUAACACAUGCAAGUCGAACGGAAAGGCCCUGCUUUUGUGGGGUGCUCGAGUGGCGAACGGGUGAGUAACACGUGAGUAACCUGCCCUUGACUUUAGGAUAACUUCAGGAAACUGGGGCUAAUACCGGAUAGGAGCUCCUGCUGCAUGGUGGGGGUUGGAACGUUUCGGCGGUUGGGGAUGGACUCGCGGCUUAUCAGCUUGUUUGUGGGGUAGUGGCUUACCAAGGCUUUGACGGGUAGCCGGCCUGAGAGGGUGACCGGCCACAUUGGGACUAAGAUACGGCCCAGACUCCUACGGGAGGCAGCAGUGGGGAAUAUUGCACAAUGGGCGGAAGCCUGAUGCAGCAACGCCGCGUGCGGGAUGACGGCCUUCGGGUUGUAAACCGCUUUCGCCUGUGACGAAGCGUGAGUGACGGUAAUGGGUAAAGAAGCACCGGCUAACUACGUG